rnacentral:rRNA from 1 species
AGGGGAAUUUUGCGCAUUGGGGGCAACCCUGACGCAGCAACGCCGCGUGAGUGAGGAAGGUUUUCGGACCGUAAAGCUCUGUCGAGCGGGAAGAAAUGCAUGGUGGCUAAUAUCCAUCAUGCUUGACGGUACCGCUAAAGGAAGCACCGGCUAACUCCGUGCCAGCAGCCGCGGUAAUACGGGGGGUGCGAGCGUUGUUCGGAAUUAUUGGGCGUAAAGAGCGUGUAGGCGGCCGAAUAAGUCAGAUGUGAAAUCCCUGGGCUUAACCCAGGACGUGCAUUUGAAACUAUUCGGCUGGAGUAGGGGAGAGGAAAGUGGAAUUCCUGGUGUAGAGGUGAAAUUCGUAGAUAUCAGGAGGAACACCGGUGGCGAAGGCGACUUUCUGGCCCUAUACUGACGCUGAGACGCGAGAGCGUGGGUAGCAAACAG